rnacentral:lncRNA from 1 species
UUUCCGGUUUGCAACAGCACGGCCUUCCCUGCAGUAAAUCCGCACUGGCAACCCCAUGCACCUGCGACGAAUAUAAAAAGGCGGAUCUUCGCAACGGCAGCAACACCGCCCACGCCUCCGUCAGCUAGCUCGUCACACGCCCGUCGCCGUUGCAAUGAUUAACCUUCGCCUCGCCGUGAUGAUGGCCAUGUGCCUUGCUCUUUGCACUUCGCAUAGACUAAGUUGCAAGUAUUACUGUCCUGGCCCCUACGCUGACCAAUAUGCCUGCUGUGACCCGUCGCCGCGCCCUGGGAGCUGCCCGUCCCCGCCCCGUUGCACAGACUUCUUCGACGGAAAUGUUCCUGUGAGUGACAACUGCGGGUAGUUUAUCUACCUGUCU